AGCGAACGCUGGCGGCAGGCCUAACACAUGCAAGUCGAACGGAUCCUUCGGGAUUAGUGGCGGACGGGUGAGUAACACGUGGGAACGUGCCCUUUGGUUCGGAACAACUCAGGGAAACUUGAGCUAAUACCGGAUGUGCCCUUCGGGGGAAAGAUUUAUCGCCAUUGGAGCGGCCCGCGUCUGAUUAGCUAGUUGGUGAGGUAACGGCCCACCAAGGCGACGAUCAGUAGCUGGUCUGAGAGGAUGAUCAGCCACACUGGGACUGAGACACGGCCCAGACUCCUACGGGAAGGAGCAGUGGGGAAUCUUGCGCAAGGGGCGAAAGCCUGACGCAGCCAUGCCGCGUGAAUGAUGAAGGUCUUAGGAUUGUAAAAUUCUUUCAGCGGGGACGAUAAUGACGGUACCCGCAGAAGAAGCUCCGGCUAACUUCGUG
rnacentral:rRNA from 1 species